rnacentral:rRNA from 1 species
UACGUAGGUGGCAAGCGUUGUCCGGAAUCACUGGGCGUAAAGCGCACGUAGGCGGCGCCGUAAGUCAGGGGUGAAAUCCCGGAGCUCAACUCCGGAACUGCCCUUGAAACUGCAGUGCUAGAAUCUUGGAGAGGCGAGUGGAAUUCCGAGUGUAGAGGUGAAAUUCGUAGAUAUUCGGAAGAACACCAGUGGCGAAGGCGACUCGCUGGACAAGUAUUGACGCUGAGGUACGAAAGCGUGGGGAGCAAACAGG